rnacentral:rRNA from 1 species
UAGGGAAUCUUCCGCAAUGUGCGAAAGCUUGACGGAGCAACGCCGCGGGAGUGAUGAAGGUCUUUGGAUCGUAAAACUCUGUUAUUAGGGAAGAACAAAUGUGUAUGUAACUAUGCACGCCUUGACGGUACCUAAUCAGAAAGCCACGGCUAACUACGUGCCAGCAGCCGCGGUAAUACGUAGGUGGCAAGCGUUAUCCGGAAUUAUUGGGCGUAAAGCGCGCGUAGGCGGUUUUUUAAGUCUGAUGUGAAAGCCCACGGCUCAACCGUGGAGGGUCAUUGGAAACUGGAAAACUUGGGUGCAGAAGAGGAAAGUGGAAUUCCAUGUGUAGCGGUGAAAUGCGCAGAGAUAUGGAGGAACACCAGUGGCGAAGGCGACUUUCUGGUCUGUAACUGACGCUGAUGUGCGAAGGCGUGGGGAUCAAACAGG